UCCGUUUUUAAAAUAAUAUCAUUGGCUCACAAAAUUAUAUUAUUUUGGUUCAUUUGUUUACUACUAACUAAAUACAGAUAACUUGUAAAAGGAAAAAUCUAUCAAAAGAAUAAAAUUUAAUUAAACGGUGUCUUAAAUGUUUUGUGCAAAUUUAAAAGGAAGAAAAUUUUAGGUUUAUUUGAUUAUAAAAAUAAAAUGUUAUGUA
rnacentral:misc_RNA from 1 species